rnacentral:rRNA from 1 species
CCCCUAGACGUUCUGGGCUGCACGCGCGCUACAAUAAUACGCACAGCGAGUAUCACCGAGCUCGAAAGGGCAAGGUAAACAAUAGAAAAGGUACUGUAAUGGUUAUAGAUCCUUGUAAUUAUUGAUCUUCAACGAGGAAUUCCUAGUAAGUAUGUGUCAUCAUCACGCACUGAUUACGUCCCUGCCCUUUGUACACACCGCCCGUCGCUCCUACCGAUUGAGUGAGCCGAUGAAACUGCCGGAUGUGGACUAUUCAUAGUCUGCAGAAGAUAUUUGAAUCGUAGCGCUUAGAGGAAGGAGAGGUCGUAACA